rnacentral:rRNA from 1 species
CCUACGGGUGACAGCAGUGAGGAAUAUUGGUCAAUGGACGCAAGUCUGAACCAGCCAUGCCGCGUGCAGGAAGAAGGCUCUAUGAGUUGUAAACUUCUUUUGUCCGCGGGCAAACUCAGACACGCGUACCUGUCCGCAUUUACCUUACGAACAAGCAUCGGCUAACUCCGUUCCAGCAGCCGCGGUAAUACGGAGGAUUCAAGCGUUAUCCGGAUUUAUUGGGUGUAAAGUGUGCGUCGGGGGUCGGUUAAGUUAGAGGUGAAAUCCCGUGGCUCAACUCCGGAAUGGCCUCUGAUACUGGUAGGCUAGAGAGUAGGAGAGGUAGGCGGAAUGCAAGGUGUAGCGGUGAAAUGCUUAGAGAUCAUGCAGAACACCGAUUGCGAAGGCAGCAUACCGGACGACGACUGACGCUGAGGCACGAAAGCGUGGGGAGCAAACAGGAUUAGAUACCCCUGUAGUC